UACGGAGGGCGCAAGCGUUACUCGGAAUCACUGGGCGUAAAGAGCGUGUAGGCGGAUAAAUAAGUCAGAAGUGAAAUCCAAUAGCUCAACUAUUGAACUGCUUUUGAAACUGUUUAUCUAGAGUAUGGGAGAGGUAGAUGGAAUUUCUGGUGUAGGGGUAAAAUCCGUAGAGAUCAGAAGGAAUACCGAUUGCGAAGGCGAUCUACUGGAACAUAACUGACGCUGAGACGCGAAAGCGUGGGGAGCAAACAGG
rnacentral:rRNA from 1 species